rnacentral:rRNA from 1 species
GAUGAACGCUGGCGGCGUGCCUAAUACAUGCCAGUCGAGCGAACGGACGAGAAGCUUGCUUUUCUGAUGUUAGCAGCGGACGGGUGAGUAACACGUGGAUAACCUACCUAUAAGACUGGGAUAACUUCGGGAAACCGGAGCUAAUACCGGAUAAUAUUUUGAACCGCAUGGUUCAAAAGUGAAAGACGGUCUUGCUGUCACUUAUAGAUGGAUCCGCGCUGCAUUAGCUAGUUGGUAAGGUAACGGCUUACCAAGGCAACGAUGCAUAGCCGACCUGAGAGGGUGAUCGGCCACACUGGAACUGAGACACGGUCCAGACUCCUACGGGAGGCAGCAGUAGGGAAUCUUCCGCAAUGGGCGAAAGCCUGACGGAGCAACGCCGCGUGAGUGAUGAAGGUCUUCGGAUCGUAAAACUCUGUUAUUAGGGAAGAACAUAUGUGUAAGUAACUGUGCACAUCUUGACGGUACCUAAUCAGAAAGCCACGGCUAACUACGUG